rnacentral:hammerhead_ribozyme from 1 species
AUCCAGCUGACGAGUCCCAAAUAAGAUUAAGUGCGUCUCCUGGAU